rnacentral:rRNA from 1 species
GACGAACGCUGGCGGCGUGCUUAACACAUGCAAGUCGAACGGUAAGGCUCCAGCUUGCUGGGGUACACGAGUGGCGAACGGGUGAGUAACACGUGGGUGACCUGCCCUGCACUUCGGGAUAAGCCUGGGAAACUGGGUCUAAUACCGGAUAGGACCAUGGUGUGGAUACUGUGGUGGAAAGUUUUUUCGGUGUGGGAUGGGCCCGCGGCCUAUCAGCUUGUUGGUGGGGUAAUGGCCUACCAAGGCGGCGACGGGUAGCCGGCCUGAGGGGGUGGACGGCCACAUUGGGACUGAGACACGGCCCAGACUCCUACGGGAGGCAGCAGUGGGGAAUAUUGCACAAUGGGCGGAAGCCUGAUGCAGCGACGCCGCGUGGGGGAUGACGGCCUUCGGGUUGUAAACUCCUUUCACCAUCGACGAAGGGUUUCUGACGGUAGAUGGAGAAGAAGCACCGGCUAACUACGUGC